UACAGAGGUCCCAAGCGUUGUUCGGAUUCAUUGGGCGUAAAGGGUGCGUAGGUGGCGCGCUAAGUCGGGUGUGAAAUCUCGGGGCUUAACUCCGAAACUGCAUUCGAUACUGGCGUGCUUGAGGACUGGAGAGGAGACUGGAAUUCAUGGUGUAGCAGUGAAAUGCGUAGAGAUCAUGAGGAAGACCAGUGGCGAAGGCGG
rnacentral:rRNA from 1 species